UACAGAGGGUGCAAGCGUUGUUCGGAAUCAUUGGGCGUAAAGGGCGUGUAGGCGGUCUGUUAAGUCAUGUGUGAAAUCCCUCGGCUCAACCGGGGAACGACGCAUGAAACUGACAAGCUAGAGUACCAAAGAGGGGGGUGGAAUUCCCGGUGUAGAGGUGAAAUUCGUAGAUAUUGGGAAGAACACCGAUGGCGAAGGCAGCCAUCUGGACCGACACUGACGCUGAGGCGCGAAAGCGUGGGGAGCAAACAGG
rnacentral:rRNA from 1 species